GUGUACUUAGCUCAAUGGUGAGAGCAUCACUCAUGAAAGUUGAGGUUGGGGGUUCAAUUCCUUCAGUAUGUG
rfam:Puccinia triticina 1-1 BBBD Race 1 supercont2.655, whole genome shotgun sequence.